rnacentral:rRNA from 1 species
UACGGAGGGUGCAAGCGUUAAUCGGAAUUACUGGGCGUAAAGCGCACGCAGGCGGUUUGUUAAGUCAGAUGUGAAAUCCCCGGGCUCAACCUGGGAACUGCAUCUGAUACUGGCAAGCUUGAGUCUCGUAGAGGGGGGUAGAAUUCCAGGUGUAGCGGUGAAAUGCGUAGAGAUCUGGAGGAAUACCGGUGGCGAAGGCGGCCCCCUGGACGAAGACUGACGCUCAGGUGCGAAAGCGUGGGGAGCAAACAGGAUUAGAUACCCUGGUAGUCCACGCCGUAAACGAUGUCGACUUGGAGGUUGUGCCCUUGAGGCGUGGCUUCCGGAGCUAACGCGUUAAGUCGACCGCCUGGGGAGUACG